GAAUUAUUUAAUGUCGUCUAUGAUCACUGAAAUGAUUGAUAUUCUGAUAUCUGGAACUUUACUAAUCAAUUUUGCAGUAAAUUACGAUGUGUAUCAUCUGACUGUUCACCAGCUUCAGAUUCUUCAAGAUAUGCUGGUGUAGAAGAACGUCUUCCUCUACCUAUACGUACGCUUGCAGAAUGCCUACAGUAUUAGUAUAGCAAGAAAAUCAACACACAAUUUCUCUAAUAUUUGCAUAGUAGAUUGUAUAAAAUAGAUAUGUACAUAUUUAUAAUAUAUAUAAUCACGUGAUUAUACGCGAUUCAGGUAUUGACAUUGAUGAGAGUAAAAUCUAUAUGCUUUUGCGAGGAUAGAUUGCGAGCAAAGUACACAGAUACACUCUCUCAAGGAAUAAGCGAUAAAUAGUUAUUUACAAAGAUUCGUUGCUGCUGAGAUCGUCUUCUUCGUCGUCACCACCAUCUCUUCAACGAACCAGAAAGUUUGUCUAUUAUUACCAAACCCGAAACCUGCUUAAGCGCUGCACUCCUUUCAAGAGCUCUAGCUUUUUUUAUCCAUGUGUAUUUGUUUUCUAGCCAAUACUUUGCUGUGGUCUUCUAUUCUUUCAUUUGGUAUAAUAAUUCCGUCUUCAGCAAUUUGUAAAGAAUUUAAUCGAUUGGUAUCGUCUAUUUAUUAAAAAUUAAUUUAAAUACUGUAAUAACUUUCCAACAAUUGGAAUUUCUAAGAGAUGAUUUUAUUCGGGAUAACAUGGUUACUUUUUAGAUAUUUUACUUACUUGAAAUACGAAUGACUUUCACGGCAUAAUAAGAGCCAUACCAUUGAGCACUUAUAUAAGUAACAUUUUUUUCAAAUGCGUUGUCGGAAAAUUCUCUAGUUUCAAGCCAUAGCCAAUUAGCAGAUUACCAGUGCGCAGACCGGAUUUGCGGUUAUACUGACAGGCGAACAUUCGAAGUUCAAAAUAAAAUUAUCAACAAUCGAAUGUUUGCUCGAUCGUUCAAUGAGCUAUUUUUUUUACUAAACUAAAUAACCUCGUAAUUAUAUCACGUUGAUGCACCUUCUGUAAUAUUUACAUGUUAUAUAAAAAAGGGACGUUCGAAAGCUACUAGCCGACAUCAUAACGCCGGCACAUCUAGUGACUGAGAGAGAAAGAGAGCACGCGCAGUUCAUAAAACGUUGACAAUAGUGCAAACGAUUUUUCCUAUAAAGCUACUAUGGACGUUUGAAUUACCUUUGACUUUACGAUGGAUCCAAUGUGAACUUUCGAAAGCUACUCCCAAGCAUCGCAGUACCUUAUAUUAAACGACGUAGAGACAGCAGUUCAGAGAACAAUUAUGAGAGCUUUGAUAAUGAAAAAAAUUGUGAAAUACAAUCUGUGAGAAUUCAAAAUGUGCAAUCAUCUUCAUUUGUUCGUAAUUUAGAAGACUUAGAGAGAACGACAGAACAAACGGAAGAGUACGCAAGACAAGCCUUUGAAGAAAACGCCCCUGUACAUGGCGUGAAAGGACCUACAGCGUUGCGUUUAAUAGUAGCUAAUUACAUUGAAUCUACAACCAUUGAUGAAUUUCACUGUGACUUUCUAGGAAUAGAAAGAAAAAUGAUGAAAUUUCAUUUUGACCCGGUUUUUAGCACGCACUCUGCGUCUUAUGCCGUUUGUUAAUAUUAUUGAUAGCAAAAUUAAACAGUUAACUCCGCCAUCAUUUGUGUAGCGGCUGCCUCGAAGUGUCAUGAAUUAUCAGUUUUGGAAAGCACACGAAUUGAAAAGAUUUUUAUUAGUGGAUAGCUUGCCUAUCUUCGAAGAUAUAUAGAUGAAGAUUACUUCGAACACCAUGUUUUGCUUGUCCAUGCUUUGACUCUGAUAAAUUCAUCGUGCAUUUGCGAUGAUAUGGUCAACGAAGCACAAGAAGUUGCAAACGAAUGGGUAUUUCGAUUUCCAUUUUUGUAUGAUGCGCGCGCAAUACAUGAGCAAUAGCGUAUACCUUUUCGAGCAUCUUCCUAGUCGAGUGCGAAAAUUUUAACCGCUUUACGUCGUGUCAACAGCUUGUUUGGAAAACUUUCAUGAUAUUUUAAAACAUUAGAUUCAUAUCUCCAAGAAACCAGAAAUGUAAGCUUGCGCGGCAUAACUUUUUUAACGCUUACGGAGGUUAAAAAUUGAUUGAUAACACCAGAUUCUGCGGUAUGUAAUUUUUGCAAGAGAACCGAGCGUUCAAGCACUCAUAGGUGCAAGAUUAGUCAUUUAAAUGGCAAUGCUUUUUUUGUCGGUAUCAGUAAAAUUGUUAAUAUUUUGCCACAGCAUGUAUGGGAAACUUUCGCAAACAGGAAUGUUGAUUUACAAGAUAGCAAUAUCCGUGAAUACCAAUGAGUUCUUAUUAAUAGUAAUUAUUAUGAGUCCGAAUCAUACGCCCCCAGAAAAGCUAGGAACUCAUCUUGCAUAUUAUAUGUUUAUGAUGAUGAAGGUAAUGCAGGAAUCAUCGACCGUUUCAUACACAUUUGUAGAUGCGAUAGAUGACAAUCGUUUUCAGGCUGCUCGGAAGAUUGUAUCACUUAUAUCGUAAUUUUACAAUAUAAUAUAAGGGAAGCAUUUCGCUGUUCCUUGGUAAUGAAUUUUGUUCCGACUCUUUUAGAAUGUCCAAGAACUGAAUCAUAUUUAGUAACAAAUUUAGACGCUAUUCAAAAAAUUUUAUUCUAUAUUAAAUUUGAUCAUAAAAUUUAUGUUGCAGAACGUGCAAAUAACAUUGAAAAAGCAUAAGCUUUGUAAAUGGUAAAAUUAUUUGAACUCUUUGUAGUUGAUGAAUUAAUAAUGUGAUUCUUAUAAAUAAUAUUUAUAUUUGAAUAACGAGGUUUCAAUGUAUAUUCAUAAUUUGUAUAAUAAUUAACGCAUAACAACAAUUAUAAUUGUAACAAAUAUCGUCCAAUAAAAUUGUUUACAUUGUUAACCAUCUUUAUAAAUGGAUGUUUUUGAUAACCACUACAAAAAAUUGAUAUAGAACUAAAGAAAACGAUAUUCAUACAAUUAAGAUGUAUAAUUGAAAAUUGUGCUGUUGAAAUUAUUCUUGCAUUACGCAGGAACUUUCAUAUUAGUGUAAAACAAUUAUUUCUUUAUAUAUAUCAGGUGACGCCUGGCAUAUUACUUGACUUUACCUUAAAUUGUUGAUUUAACCAUUACUUUUUAUUAGAAAGUAUGGUUAAUGUUUUGUUAAAUAUGAACUUUACUUGUCGUCAGAACUUCGGACUAAGUUUUACGAACGUUUGCCCAUACAUUUGAAUAAAAAGACAAUUAAUCUUAGAGAUUUCGUUUGAUAUAAAUUUGGCCAAACUUUGCCCAAACAUUUUAUCAAACAUUAAAAAAAUAUUGCUAUUGCCUUUGGCCAAAGUUUGACCAAAUUUUAGCUAAAGUUACAAUCUAUAAUUGAAAAAAAAAGCUUUACGAUUGUCUUUGGUUGAAGUUUUGCCAUACUUUUUUGUUAGAAAUCAAAUUUUAAAAUUAAAUUCACAAUAAGUUUGGGAAACGUUUUCCCAAGUUUUUUACAAACUAAUCAGUUGAAUAAAUAGUUUGGCACCGUCUCACCGAAUAAGUUUUAUGGAUGUAUUUCGACACUCACUUCGUUAAUUCAGGCGUAAAUGUAUCGAAACGAGAAUCUACAUGAUUUCCAUACUUGUGACGUAAAGCACUUUUUAAUAAAAUUGCUUGAACAGUUCAUUUCGAAGUAAAUAUUUUUAGUUAAAUGUGUAAAUUAAGAAAUGUAAUUUUUCUUGAUGGAGUGCCCAAAACAAUAUCACGCAUUGUUUGCCUCGAGUCUUUGUUUCAGGGGCAUCUUAAUAGCUUGGAACAAUCACUUGUGUUAUCAUUAUUUUAAAAACUUGUCUUCAAUAGAUACAGACGAUUAAUUUUGUUACUUCUAUAAAUAAAAACACGUAAUCAAAAUAGCCUUUAACCAUUCUACCAAGCUUAUACAUAAUUAUCCUCGUAUGACUUUGUCUUUUUACUCAAAAGUAUGAGUCUAAUUUUUAAAAAUAAAUCGAUUUAGAAAUAG